rnacentral:rRNA from 1 species
UACGUAGGGUGCAAGCGUUGUCCGGAAUUAUUGGGCGUAAAGAGCUUGUAGGCGGUUUGUCGCGUCUGCUGUGAAAACUCGGGGCUUAACCCCGGGCCUGCAGUGGGUACGGGCAGACUAGAGUGCGGUAGGGGAGACUGGAAUUCCUGGUGUAGCGGUGAAAUGCGCAGAUAUCAGGAGGAACACCGGUGGCGAAGGCGGGUCUCUGGGCCGAUACUGACGCUGAGGAGCGAAAGCAUGGGUAGCGAACAGG